AACGAACGCUGGCGGCAGGCUUAACACAUGCAAGUCGAACGAGAUCUUCGGAUCUAGUGGCAGACGGGUGAGGAACACGUGGGAACAUCCCUUUCAGUUCGGAAUAACGUUGGGAACCUAACGCUAAUACCGGAGACGUCCUUCGGGAGAAAGAUUUAUCGCUGAAAGAUUGGCCCCCGUCUGAUUAGCUAGUUGGUGAGGUAAUGGCUCACAAAGGCUACGAUCAGUAGCUGAUCUGAGAGGAUGAUCAGCCACAUUGGGACUGAGACACGGCCCAAACUCCUACGGGAGGCAGCAGUGGGGAAUAUUGGACAAUGGGCACAAGCCUGAUCCAGCCAUGCCGCGUGAGUGAUGACGGCCUUCGGGUUGUAAAGCUCUUUUGUCCGGGAAGAUAAUGACUGUACCGGAAGAAUAAGCCCCGGCAAACUUCGUGCCAGCCGCCGCAGUAA
rnacentral:rRNA from 1 species